rnacentral:rRNA from 1 species
UACGAAGGGGGCUAGCGUUGCUCGGAAUCACUGGGCGUAAAGGGUGCGUAGGCGGGUUUUUAAGUCAGGGGUGAAAUCCUGGAGCUCAACUCCAGAACUGCCUUUGAUACUGAAGAUCUUGAGUUCGGGAGAGGUGAGUGGAACUGCGAGUGUAGAGGUGAAAUUCGUAGAUAUUCGGAAGAACACCAGUGGCGAAGGCGGCUCACUGGACCGGUAUUGACGCUGAGGUGCGAAAGCGUGGGGAGCAAACAGG